UGGAUGAUGUGGAUUAAUUCGAUGCAACGCGAAGAACCUUACCUACCCUUGACAUGUCCGGAACUUGCCAGAGAUGGCUUGGUGCCCGAAAGGGAAUCGGAACACAGGUGCUGCAUGGCUGUCGUCAGCUCGUGUCGUGAGAUGUUGGGUUAAGUCCCGCAACGAGCGCAACCCUUAUCAUUAGUUGCUACGCAAGGGCACUCUAAUGAGACUGCCGGUGACAAACCGGAGGAAGGUGGGGAUGACGUCAAGUCCUCAUGGCCCUUAUGGGUAGGGCUUCACACGUCAUACAAUGGUCGGUACAGAGGGUUGCCAAGCCGCGAGGCGGAGCGAAUCCCAGAAAACCUGUCUCAGUCCGGAUUGAAGUCUGCAACUCGACUUCAUGAAGGCGGAAUCGCUAGUAACCGCGAAUCAGCAGGUCGCGGUGAAUACGUUCCCGGGCCUU
rnacentral:rRNA from 1 species